GCUUACACUGGUCAGCACCCGUGUUGUAUCUAUGCUCAAACAUAUUAAAAUCAUCCGGAGACGAGUUUUGUGUUCAUAUAAAUUACAUAACUUUUGAGCCAGCUGAGUGCUUUGUUAACCUGAACUUUAACAGUUGAGUUAUUUAUUGGCUUUGAAUAAUCUAAAGGAACGAUGUCGCAAAACUUGUGUUAUACACCUUGAUUUAGUGAGAGGCUUGUUAAUAGAUUAGCAAUAAUUGUGUAUUCCGUAAUAUAACCGGGGUUGGCCAAGAUACAAGAUAUAAGAUACAAGAUAAAAAUAUAUCUUGUGUAACAUUUGCCGUAAGUUGUUUAACGGGACGGGUCACCAGUCGAUGGCGGUGUUGGGAAACUUUUCUCCAAACGAAGGACGUUGUUUGUAUGAAAUGGAAGUUCGGGCAGAUUGGAUCAAGUGGGACGUGAGGAAUUUCGCCACGGAGGAAUUUCAGCUCCUUGUUCUCAAGGGCAGAGAUGACAAAAACUGUCAGGAUGAAGUAAAAAUGAAAAGAUCUCUGGGGGGAGCUUAAUGAUGGUUUUCUUUAAGUUAAACAGUUGAAAUUGUUCAAUUGAAUUAAUAAGUACUUAUUAAAUUAAAUUAAUAUUUGUAAUCCUAAGAUGAGAUUUAGAUGUAAAGAGUACAUAUGUAUGUCGUAUGACAAAUUUAAAGACAAAAUGCAAUGUUUAAAAAAUGA